rnacentral:tRNA from 1 species
UCCGAAUUAGUUUAGUGGCUAUGACGGCACCUUGUCACGGUGCAGACCCGGGUUCGAUUCCCGGAUUUGGAG